GGGGGGGGGGGGGGGGGGGGGGGGGGGGGGGGGGGGGGGGGGGGGGGGGGGAAAAAAAAAAAAAAAAGGAUGAAGUCAGCCUGAAGGAUGAAAAUAGUAAUAGUAAAGUGGUAAAUAAAAAAAUGACAAUGCCUAAACUAGCACAGAGCACAGUCAUUUAUGAAACAUGGCUGGUACACAAAUGCACUAGUGUUGCACAAAUAAAUCUCUGACCAUCUGUAACUAAGAAGCCAGAUGUAUUUUCUGCAUGUCCACCCUGACCAAGAAACAAAGACCACACGCACAGUUCCCAUCUCCUGGGGGAUGUGUUGGGCACCCUGGUCAUUCCACAGGUUGCAAGCAAAGCAGAGCUGAUGACUGAAUGUAACCACAGCACUUCCUCAAAAAAGACUGCGUGCACUUACUACUGGUUGUCUUAUUGUUGCACAGCCAUCUGCAGUGCCCACAAAACUAAAAUACACUAAUAUCUUUGAAGUUCCCAAGGUGCCCAAGAAAGGUGCUCUGGAAGAGCCCACACCUGUAACUGUGCCCAAGCAGCCAGAACCAGCAGCAGUUCGAGUGCCUGAGACGCCUGAAGCUGAGCUCCUGGAAGAGGAGGAAGAGCUGGAAGCAGCAGAAGAGGUGGCAGCAGUAGCUGAGCCUGGAGAGCCAGAAGUCUCUCCAGCUGAAGGUAUAGGGUGGUGUUCUGAAAGAGCCUGCCAUGCUCUUCACAUGGCUGCGGUGCUCAGUGCUCUUUGCCCCUCUGCUCUCUGUGGGGAGGGUUGAGAGCAGAAUUUCAUCAUUUUGUGUCUCUGUGUGCCUGCACACUCCCCUCAAGAGAGGGUGGGGCUUUUCAGAAACCCCCCUCUCAAUAAUCCCAUUCUUGGGCUCUUUGUAGUGAGUCCACCUUGAGCAGGGGUGAUUGGCUGAAGAGGACACUCUGGUAGUCUGUCAAGGGUUUUCUUUCCUCCUUUCCUGCUUUGCCACCUGCCUGUUUGCUGACCUUCAGCUCAGACAAGUAAAUGGAUCUAAUCUCUUUAAAGUGCCUGAGGUGAUUGAGGUGGAAGAGGCAGAAGAGGAGCCUGUGGUCAUUCCCCCAAAACCUGCGGCUGUUCCCAAGAAACCUGUGGCUGUGCCAAAGAAACCAGAGCCUCCACAAGAUAAAGGUAUAUCUUCUUGAGAGAGAUGCUUUUUAUUUUACUGUUUAUUGAUUAAUAUUUUCAUUUGUUAUCCCUUCUUUUGUGUAAGAUUUCUUGUUUGUCCUUGACCCUUAACCUCUGCUGUACCUGUCUUUGUGCAUGACUAACCAACCAGUCACUUGAAGAACAUUACAGUGCUUAGAAAUAUCUAAACUCUUUGAUUGACUGUUAAACUCUUUCCUACUAAUUUAACUGUGAAAUUAAGAUGAAAUAAUAUCUUUAAAGUGCUCAAGGUGCCCAAGAAAGCUGUUCCACAAGAAAAGACGCCUGUUGCAGUACCCAAACAACCUGAACCACCACCAGCCAAAGGUACAGGUCACUAUUAGUAUCAUCAUUAGAAAAAAAAUCAUGCUCUUCUGGACUUCAGUUUAAGUAAUUUUUUGAUGGUGAGCUAUUGGAGAUAGGUGCCUAAGAAAUACAAAGUGCAAUGUGGAGUGUCAAAAACAUG
rnacentral:lncRNA from 12 species